rnacentral:rRNA from 1 species
UACGUAGGGUGCGAGCGUUGUCCGGAAUUAUUGGGCGUAAAGGGCUCGUAGGCGGUUUGUCGCGUCGGGAGUGAAAUCCACUGGCUUAACUGGUGGCUUGCUUUCGAUACGGGCAGACUGGAGGUAUGCAGGGGAGAACGGAAUUCCUGGUGUAGCGGUGAAAUGCGCAGAUACCAGGAGGAACACCAGUGGCGAAGGCGGCUCACUGGACCGGUACUGACGCUGAUGCGCGAAAGCGUGGGGAGCAAACGGG